UUGCUGGCCUCGUACUUCUUUGCAUAACCAUACGGAUUUUCGGCUGUGGAAUGUAAAGAAGUAUGUAGCCACUAG
rnacentral:pre_miRNA from 1 species